UGAAAAGAAGAAGGGCAUGCCCAAUGGC
rnacentral:piRNA from 1 species